GAUGAACGCUGGCGGCGUGCUUAACACAUGCAAGUCGAACGGUGAAGCCAAGCUUGCUUGGUGGAUCAGUGGCGAACGGGUGAGUAACACGUGAGCAACCUGCCCUGGACUCUGGGAUAAGCGCUGGAAACGGCGUCUAAUACUGGAUAUGAGCCCCUAUCGCAUGGUGGGGGUUGGAAAGAUUUUUUGGUCUGGGAUGGGCUCGCGGCCUAUCAGCUUGUUGGUGAGGUAAUGGCUCACCAAGGCGUCGACGGGUAGCCGGCCUGAGAGGGUGACCGGCCACACUGGGACUGAGACACGGCCCAGACUCCUACGGGAGGCAGCAGUGGGGAAUAUUGCACAAUGGGCGAAAGCCUGAUGCAGCAACGCCGCGUGAGGGAUGACGGCCUUCGGGUUGUAAACCUCUUUUAGCAGGGAAGAAGCGAAAGUGACGGUACCUGCAGAAAAAGCGCCGGCUAACUACGUGCCAGCAGCCGCGGUAAUACGUAGGGCGCAAGCGUUAUCCGGAAUUAUUGGGCGUAAAGAGCUCGUAGGCGGUUUGUCGCGUCUGCUGUGAAAUCCCGAGGCUCAACCUCGGGCCUGCAGUGGGUACGGGCAGACUAGAGUGCGGUAGGGGAGAUUGGAAUUCCUGGUGUAGCGGUGGAAUGCGCAGAUAUCAGGAGGAACACCGAUGGCGAAGGCAGAUCUCUGGGCCGUAACUGACGCUGAGGAGCGAAAGGGUGGGGAGCAAACAGGCUUAGAUACCCUGGUAGUCCACCCCGUAAACGUUGGGAACUAGUUGUGGGGACCAUUCCACGGUUUCCGUGACGCAGCUAACGCAUUAAGUUCCCCGCCUGGGGAGUACGGCCGCAAGGCUAAAACUCAAAGGAAUUGACGGGGACCCGCACAAGCGGCGGAGCAUGCGGAUUAAUUCGAUGCAACGCGAAGAACCUUACCAAGGCUUGACAUAUACGAGAACGGGCCAGAAAUGGUCAACUCUUUGGACACUCGUAAACAGGUGGUGCAUGGUUGUCGUCAGCUCGUGUCGUGAGAUGUUGGGUUAAGUCCCGCAACGAGCGCAACCCUCGUUCUAUGUUGCCAGCACGUAAUGGUGGGAACUC
rnacentral:rRNA from 4 species